GCAAAACACAGCAGCUGCACACCCUCUGCGGGAACGAGAUGUCCGCUUAAUUAAAGCAUGACCAGGCGGCGGGCGUCUCCCGGGGAGAGAGACGCAGUGAUACUGGGUACUGAUCUAGACCUGCUGCCAAGAGAAACGGUGGUCAGCGGGGAUCAGCAGCUCUCCUCUCCAGCAAGAUGGGGCUCCAAAGCCAAUUUGGAAACUGUUUACAUGGUCACUCCUGGCUGCAAAGAAGACUGGGAAACAGGGUGUUUAUCAAGGAACCUGGUAGAGCUCAUCAAGAUUGGAGUUCCAUUGACAAGAAAGACAGGAGGAACAGAAUGGUCUUUGGAUAAGCAAUGACCAUUGCUUAUCUACACAUCUUCUGCAGGCUUCACGCCCAGUAGGGCUUGAACUUGACGAUCACGAG
rnacentral:lncRNA from 1 species